CUCAACUUCCCCCGCCCACCUCCAUCCACCCUCCGGGCUCCUCCGGACUAUAGGUAACCUCCUAGACUGUAGGUAGCCCGGGUGCAGGGAUCAGGCAGUCCUGUGGCAGAGCAUCCCACCACGUGACACUCCGCACUCUGCACACCCCAAAACGCCCAGGCUCUCCCACUCGUCACCGUUGUUAAUAAUACCCCACGGCCUCCUCUCCGUUUCUGUGCCAACCCUCUUUCAGGCGCCACACCCUUCUAUAUCUACUUGCCUCCCUCUGGAGGCCCUCCGAACGCCUUAAACACAGCUUGCCUAGAAGUCAUCUUUCUGCUAACUUUGCUCUUUCUUUCCUCCCCUAACGUAGUAACGGCCCCACCAUCUGCUCAGAGAUUCAAGCCCCAAGUAGGAGUCAUUUUGACACCUCUCCCUUCACCCCUACUCCUCUCCUGUCAGUUAUCUAAUCCUGUUCACCUCAUCUCCUAAACAACUCCAAUCCAAACAUUUGCCUCCAGCUGCUCUGCCACUCUAUUCCAUUCUUCUCAUCUGGUCUCCCCACCUCUGACUUUAUCUUGGCCCUAGUAGCUCUGCUUCUACAGAAUAAGUAGGGUGAUCCUUCUACAAUGCAAAUUGCUGCUGUAAAAUCUUGUAAAAUGCUGUAAAAUGGCUUCCCACCAACCAUUGGGCCUUGAACUGACAUUUACAUUGGCAUGGCCACUGACCGUUACCACAAUAGUUGGUUGGUGGGUUGAGAAAGGCUGAGAACCAUGACACCAGAUAUUCCCUUAGUCCCUUCCAUUGUGGCAUCAGAAGUUCUGCAUCCCAGUUAUGGCCUGCUGCCUUUCAAAUCACUGUAAAAGAACUCUCCUACUGACUGUGAAGGAAGACACACUGACUUACCUGGGGAACCUGGCCAGCCCACCUGGAUCCAAGGACCUGCCUGCCAUAAAACAGCUCCUGUCAUACUUGGCCCUGAUAUGAUAUUCAUACCGCCACUCACCCUUGGUCCCUUCCGGAAGUACUAAAGAGGGGGCACACCAGGAACUGCUGAGCCACGACAGGAACUCCUUGUGAAUAUCCCACUUCUUGUGGAAGGCUGGGAGUUCAUGGACUGGGUAUUUUUUCUUCUCUGCUGAGGACCAGAGUGGCACUGUGGCUCUGGGGCUCAUUUACACAGGGCCAAGUCCCUAAGCAAUUUUACAUCUGCUUUUCCAAAAGAAAAGAGCCUUGGAGUUCCCUUUGUGACCCAGCGGUUAACGAUCCCAACUAGGAUCCAUGAGGACAUGGGUUUGAUCCCUGGCGUCACUCAGUG